rnacentral:rRNA from 1 species
UGGAAARGGGAGGAAAAAGAAACCAACAGGGAUUGCCUCAGUAACGGCGAGUGAAGCGGCAAAAGCUCAAAUUUGAAAUCCCCCGGGAAUUGUAAUUUGAAGAGAUUUGGGUCCGGCCGGCAGGGGUUAAGUCCACUGGAAAGUGGCGCCACAGAGGGUGACAGCCCCGUGAACCCCCUCAACGCCUUCAUCCCAGAUCUCCAAGAGUCGAGUUGUUUGGGAAUGCAGCUCUAAGUGGGUGGUAAAUUCCAUCUAAAGCUAAAUACCGGCGAGAGACCGAUAGCGAACAAGUACAGUGAUGGAAAGAUGAAAAGCACUUUGAAAAGAGAGUGAAAAAGUACGUGAAAUUGUUGAAAGGGAAGGGCUUGCAAGCAGACACUUAACUGGGCCAGCAUCGGGGCGGCGGGAAACAAAACCACCGGGGAAUGUACCUUUCGAGGAUUAUAACCCCGGUCUCAAUUUUCCUUUGUUGCCCCGAGGCCUGCAAUCUAAGGAUGCUGGCGUAAUGGUUGCAAGUCGCCCGUCUCAAAAACUUAMCCAAAUA